rnacentral:rRNA from 1 species
AGAGUUUGAUCAUGGCUCAGAUUGAACGCUGGCGGCAGGCCUAACACAUGCAAGUCGAACGGUAACAUUUCUAGCUUGCUAGAAGAUGACGAGUGGCGGACGGGUGAGUAAUGCUUGGGAACUUGCCUUUGCGAGGGGGAUAACAGUUGGAAACGACUGCUAAUACCGCAUAAUGUCUUCGGACCAAACGGGGCUUAGGCUCCGGCGCAAAGAGAGGCCCAAGUGAGAUUAGCUAGUUGGUAAGGUAACGGCUUACCAAGGCGACAAUCUCUAGCUGUUCUGAGAGGAAGAUCAGCCACACUGGGACUGAGACACGGCCCAAACUCCUACGGGAGGCAGCAUUGGGGAAUAUUGCACAAUGGGGGAA